UGACCUCAAAUCAGGUAGGAUUACCCGCUGAACUUAAGCA
rnacentral:rRNA from 1 species